UACGUAGGGUGCGAGCGUUAAUCGGAAUUACUGGGCGUAAAGCGUGCGCAGGCGGUUUUGUAAGACAGGCGUGAAAUCCCCGAGCUCAACUUGGGAAUUGCGCUUGUGACUGCAAGGCUAGAGUGUGUCAGAGGGGGGUAGAAUUCCACGUGUAGCAGUGAAAUGCGUAGAGAUGUGGAGGAAUACCGAUGGCGAAGGCAGCCCCCUGGGAUAACACUGACGCUCAUGCACGAAAGCGUGGGGAGCAAACAGG
rnacentral:rRNA from 1 species